AGCUUUGAUCCUGGCUCAGGAUGAACGCUAGCGGCAGGCCUAAUACAUGCAAGUCGGACGGUAGAGAUUCUUUCGGGAAUUUUGAGAGUGGCGCACGGGUGCGUAACGCGUAUGCAACCUGCCUUUUACCGGGGGAUAGCCCGGGGAAACCCGGAUUAAUACCCCAUAGUAUCAGGAGACGGCAUCGUUUUCUGAUUAAAGAUUCAUCGGUAGAAGAUGGGCAUGCGUAGGAUUAGCUAGUUGGCGGGGUAACGGCCCACCAAGGCGACGAUCCUUAGGGGUUCUGAGAGGAAGGUCCCCCACACUGGCACUGAGAUACGGGCCAGACUCCUACGGGAGGCAGCAGUAGGGAAUAUUGGGCAAUGGUCGGAAGACUGACCCAGCCAUGCCGCGUGCAGGAAGAAGGCGUUACGCGUUGUAAACUGCUUUUAUACGGGAAGAAAAAGCAACUGCGGUUGAAAUUGCCGGUACCGUAUGAAUAAGCACCGGCUA
rnacentral:rRNA from 1 species